GAGGGUAGAGCUCAGUGGUAGAGCCCGGGCUUAGCAGGGGUGAGGUCCUGGGUUCAACCCCCAGUACCGCCA
rnacentral:tRNA from 1 species